UACGGAGGGUGCAAGCGUUAAUCGGAAUUACUGGGCGUAAAGCGCGCGUAGGUGGUUAUGUAAGCGAGAUGUGAAAGCCCCGGGCUCAACCUGGGAACGGCACUUCGAACUGCAUGGCUAGAGUGUGGUAGAGGGUAGUGGAAUUUCCUGUGUAGCGGUGAAAUGCGUAGAUAUAGGAAGGAACACCAGUGGCGAAGGCGGCUACCUGGACCAACACUGACACUGAGGUGCGAAAGCGUGGGGAGCAAACAGGAUUAGAAACCCUGUAGUCC
rnacentral:rRNA from 1 species